GGGCCUGUAGCUCAGUUGGUUAGAGCAGUGGCCUCUUAAGCCGCGUGUCGAGGGUUCGAAUCCCUCCAGGCCCUCCA
rnacentral:tRNA from 1 species